GAGGCAGCAGUGGGGAAUAUUGCACAAUGGAGGGAACUCUGAUGCAGCGACGCCGCGUGAACGAAGAAGGCUUUCGAGUCGUAAAGUUCUUUUAUAUGGGAAGAUAAUGACGGUACCAUAAGAAAAAGCCCCGGCUAACUACGUGCCAGCAGCCGCGGUAAUACGUAGGGGGCUAGCGUUGUCCGGAAUCACUGGGCGUAAAGGGUUCGCAGGCGGAAAUGCAAGUCAGAUGUAAAAGGCAGUAGCUUAACUACUGUAAGCAUUUGAAACUGCAUAUCUUGAGAAGAGUAGAGGUAAGUGGAAUUUUUAGUGUAGCGGUGAAAUGCGUAGAUAUUAAAAAGAAUACCGGUGGCGAAGGCGACUUACUGGGCUCAUUCUGACGCUGAGGAACGAAAGCGUGGGUAGCAACCAGGAUUAGAUACCCUGGUAGUCCACGCUGUAAACGAUGAGUGCUAGGUGUCGGCGAAUGUCGGUGCCGCAGUUAACACAAUAAGCACUCCGCCUGGGGA
rnacentral:rRNA from 1 species